rnacentral:tRNA from 1 species
GCCUGGCUGGCUGAGUCAGUAAAGCACAUGACUCUUAAUCUUAGGGUUGUGAGUUAAGUCCCACAUUGGGCA